rnacentral:lncRNA from 1 species
GCCUGGGCCAGUAUUUGGGCCCAUUUUCAUUUUGGGUCUUUGGCCCAUUUGAGUCACCUGCACCUGUCCUAAACUAACAUAAAGAAAUAUAUUUUUAUCUUUGGGCCUUACGCCCAAUUCUUUCACCUGUCCUAAAUUCUAAACAAAAAUAAUAAUAGUAAGAUGACAAGGGCUUAGGCCCAAAAUAACAAAAUACAACUUUUUUAAAAUACAGAGUGAGCCUUUGGCCCAAUUUUGACUCUUCAAUCUGUUGCAUAUUCUUUCAGGACCUGUCCGUCGAUUUUGAUGGUUGGCUGACUCGGAUAAAAUAAAAUUGGGCCUCCAUGGCCCAAUAGAAAAAUGCAAGGAUAGAGUCCGUGAGGACUUGGAUAGAUUUCACAUGCGACAAAACAAAUAAAAUACAUAAGUAACACUCACGAUAAGUUAAUAGAAGAAACAACACAAUAUGAUAGUGGCCUAAUAUAACGAGCUACUGCUAACGUCAACUUCGUUGUCACAUAGCUCAUAUAUCCCAAAUAAUACCAAAUGAAAUAUUCCAAUUUCUCAUCAUGGAUAAGUAGUGACUGGAACAAUAUAAUAACUCCAACAAAGUAUACAAUGCCAUACCAAGGAAUAAAUGUUGCUACAGCAUGUGAAAAAGAUAGAAAAGAAAGAAAAAUAGAUAAAGUAAAUAAGUAAAUAAAUAAAUAAAAUAUAAUAAAAAUAAAAACAACUAAAAUCCUAACUAGCACGGGAAAACAAACAAACAUUAAUUGGCUAUACUUAAACAAUAGUAAAUGCACAAGGAAAAACUGUAUUCAAACUAAAUUUUUAUUUUUAGGAUAAAAAACAAAAUAAAGUAAAAAAUUGGCACAUUAGUUCAAAUUAAGCGGAUACACAUGAAAUUAAGGGACUUGACGAGGAAAAUUUUAUUUUUUUUUAUUUUUUUUUAAAAAAAGAAAACAUGUUAUGUCACAUAAACCUAUCAAGUAGGACUAGUGGUUUUACAUUUAAGGCGAAACCAUGUUAUACCAAAAUAAUCUCAAAUCGAUCAAGGGCCAAACAAAGCUAUGCUAACCAUGUUGUUCAUUAAAAUUGAAGACUUGCAUCAUCAAAUAGCACCCAAGAGCAUCAAACGGAGGUAUAAUGGCCGAGUUAGAAGUGACGUAAAGCGAUAUAUUAAGAGCACACUCGGACCAAAAUGAAAUUAUGUUUCCACGACACUAUAGUAAAUCCCAGAUUGCAGAGAUGCUUUCUAUCACAUAAUAAUUGCAACUAUGAAGGGUGACUAAGGCAAUAACUAAAAUUUCCAGAUUUUAAACCAUUUAAAUGACACUAAAGUGAGCUGAGCCAUGCCUUAGAAACAGAGAAGGAUAAACAAAUGCUCUCAGCUACAAUCUAGAACUCAAGAUAUAGAGUAACAAGUGAACAAGGGAAUGAGUAAAAGAAAUUUCUUUCAAAAGCUAGACAUGGACAGAUUUAUAAACAUGCAUUUAAAGAACAUAACUUCAACAAAAAUCAACUCAUAUUCAUAAGAAACAAAAGGUACAGCAGCCUAAAGCCUUUCGACGCUUUCUAAGCACAUAAUGAAGGCAUAAAAAAUAUCAUCCAGUGAAACAAACCGAGACUCGAGGCGAACAUAAUGAUCAUGAAUUCGAUAAAAAAUGUAAACAGAGAGACGAUUUAACAACAGGCACUAAAUCAUUUUGAAACACGGAACCUUCACUACCAUUUCAGGAAAGGCAUAACGAAUACUAACAACAACAUUUAGCUUUUCAUGCUUCGAAUAAAAAAUAAACCGGAAAAAACUUAUACAGAACACAACUCAAGUCGAAAUCUCUACCGAAACCUAAUAGUAAAAGAGUUGGGAGUCAUAUACCUGUUGAGGAGCAGCGACCGAGACAACGACGAACUAAAACGACGAUCUCCACCACAAAAAUCGAGCUCGAACGAUGAUCCAAAGAGUCUAGGCAGAAAAUUGAACCCAAAACCGAAACUAUCGUCUCUCUAUUUUCGAAGUAUAUUGUGUAUCCAAAAUGUUUCUACUCGAUCUCUCCUCUGUACUUGCUAAAAAAAAUUCUACUUUUCUCUCUGCCUUAGUUCAGAUUUUCAACUCAAAACCCCAAAAAAAAAAA